GACGAACGCUGGCGGCGUGCUUAACACAUGCAAGUCGAACGUGAUUUUUGUGGAAAUUCUUUCGGGAAUGGAAAUGAAAUGAAAGUGGCGAACGGGUGAGUAACACGUGAGCAACCUACCUUACACAGGGGGAUAGCCGUUGGAAACGACGAUUAAUACCGCAUGAGACCACAGAAUCGCAUGAUAUAGGGGUCAAAGAUUUAUCGGUGUAAGAAGGGCUCGCGUCUGAUUAGCUAGUUGGAAGGGUAAAGGCCUACCAAGGCGACGAUCAGUAGCCGGUCUGAGAGGAUGAACGGCCACAUUGGAACUGAGACACGGUCCAAACUCCUACGGGAGGCAGCAGUGGGGAAUAUUGCACAAAUGGGGGGAAACCCCUGAUGCAAGGCGACCGCCGCGUGAAGCGAAAGAAAGG
rnacentral:rRNA from 1 species